rnacentral:rRNA from 1 species
GAGCUUGCUCUUCGAUUCACCGGCGGACGGGUGAGUAAUACCUAUGAAUCUGCCUGGUAGUGGGGGACAACGUUUCSAAAGGAACGCUAAUACCGCAUACGUCCUACGGGAGAAAGCAGGGGACCUUCGGGCCUUGCGCUAUCUCAUGASCCUACGUCGGAUUAKCUAGUUGGUGAGGUAAUGGCUCACCAAGGCUACGAUCCGUAACUGGUCUGAGAGGAUGAUCAKUCACACUGGAACUGASACACSGUCCARACUCCUACGGGAGGCAGCAGUGGGGAAUAUUGGACAAUGGGCGAAAGCCUGAUCCAUCCAUGCCKCGUGUGUGAAGAAGGUCUUCGGAUUGUAAAGCACUUUAAGUUGGGAGGAAGGGCAGUAAGCGAAUACCUUGCUGUUUUGACGUUMCCGACAGAAUAAKCACCGGCUAACUCUGUGCCMGCACCCGCGGUAAUACAGAGGGUGCAAGCGUUAAUCGSAAUUACUGGGCGUAAAGCGCGCGUAGGUGGUUCAUUWAGUUGGAUGUGAAAUCCCCGGGCUCAACCUGGGAACUGCRUCC